rnacentral:rRNA from 1 species
UAAGGAAUAUUGCACAAUGGGGGAAACCCUGAUGCAGCAACGCCGCGUGAGUGACGAAGGCCUUCGGGUUGUAAAACUCUUUUCUGAGGGAUGAGGAAGGACAGUACCUUAGGAAUAAGUCUCGGCUAACUACGUGCCAGCAGCCGCGGUAAAACGUAGGAGGCGAGCGUUAUCCGGAUUUACUGGGCGUAAAGGGCAAGUAGGCGGUGGUUCAAGUUGGGCGUGACAGAUCCUGGCUUAACUGGGAGAGGUCGUUCAAAACUGGAUCACUAGAGGGCAGGAGAGGGGAGCGGAAUUCCUAGUGUAGCGGUGGAAUGCUCAGAUAUUAGGAAGAACACCAGUGGCGAAAGCGGCUUUCUGGCCUGCACCUGACGCUGAAGGGCGAAAGCUAGGGGAGCGAACGG